rnacentral:lncRNA from 1 species
AAGAUUAAUUUGAGUUGGUUAGAUUUUUUUAAGGUUUGGUUUAGGAUUAGGGUUGAAUUAGGAUUUAAGAUUUGGUUAAGAUUUGAUUAGGAUUUGGAUUUGGACUAGGAUUUAGGAUUGGACUAGGAUUUAGGAUUUGAUUUAGGAUUUGCUUAGGAAUUAGGAUUUAAGAUUUACUUAGGAUUUAGUAUUUGAUCUAAGAUUUGAUUGAAGUCCAUUAAGGUUUCAAUUAGAAUUGAAUUAGGACUUGAUUGAGAUUUAUUUAAUAUAUAUUUUUGAUUAUUCUAAUAUUUCUUUAGGAUUUUUGAGGGAUUCUUUUAAGAUUUAUUGUGGAUUUCUUUUGAAUUCCUUUAAUAUUUCUUAUUAUAUCUUUUGUAAUUUCUU